rnacentral:rRNA from 1 species
UACGUAGGGGGCAAGCGUUGUCCGGAUUUAUUGGGCGUAAAGAGCGUGUAGGCGGCUAGGUAGGUCCGUUGUGAAAACUUGAGGCUCAACCUCGAGACGCCGAUGGAAACCAUCUGGCUAGAGUCCGGAAGAGGAGAGUGGAAUUCCUGGUGUAGCGGUGAAAUGCGCAGAUAUCAGGAAGAACACCCGUGGCUAAGGCGGCUCUCUAGUACGGUACUGACGCUGAGACGCGAAAGCGUGGGGAGCGAACAGG